AUGCCAGAAGAAAAGAAAAAGACACAAAAACAAAUGCAAAUGCACAAGGAAAACGGAAACUAGCCUCCAAAAAUGGCCCAUCAUGCUCAUCUCGAAAGAGAAAAAACACAAAAAACUCCUCACAGAAUAAAACCAAGCAAAACAGUACUGUUAAAGUUUACAAAGAUGGUGGAAAGAAACCAACACUUCAGCAUAGGAAAAAAGUUUCUAAAUCAAAAAGAAGUGGAAAAACCAGAGCAGCUCAAGAAAAGACAAAUGUUUAUUCAAAAGAUUCUGAUAAAAAGAAAACGCAACAAAGAAACAGAAACAAAGUACAUUCUUUUGUGUACUAUUACCAGAGAACUGCAGGAAGAGACAAACAAGAAAUUUCUUAGAACUACUUUUGAUUUUUUGACCUUAUUUUUUUUUUUUGUGGAUAUUGUAUUGCAAUGCAAUUAUCUGUUGUAGACUUAGUAUUUGUGUUCAAUUAAUUGAUCAUAUUUCAUCUUGAAGUGACUUUACAUAGUCCCAUUACGACUGUUAUUAUCGGAGAAAUGAAUGGCUGUGUUGCACAAUGUGCAAAACCAGCUAAUAGUAUUGUGAUGUUAAGCAUUCUGGUUAGUGGUUGUAGUGCAUAAGGUAACAAUUAGUACCUAUUUUGUGAAAUCACUUUCAUUUAGUUUUCAACUCUCUAUGUUAAAAAAAAGUCCAACAAAUAUGUAAGCCUCAAAUCUAUGGCCAGCCUCAAAUCUGUUUUCCAUAUUGUACUGUGUCCUAGACGUCACAAAUCUAUGUCCUGUCCUUUUACAAAAAGUCAUGCACUGUUGGUGUCAGAAUUAGCAAAAAGUCUUGUAGGAAAUAUUUGGGAACAUGGAGUAGAGAGGAAGUUAAGAAUAGAUAUGCUUGAAAAAUUUCUUUGACCAAAUUUUAGUCUGGGAGUAGGGGGGAUAGGAAUCGGGGACGCAUGUUCACCCCUUCUACAUAGGGCCUUUCAGCUUACCACACAUUAAAAAAGUGCAAAUAACUAAUUCUUUAUAAUUCCCCCUCUUUAUUGCCUCCCUCUUCUGAAAUAUUAGGUCAGUUACAUGUAUUUGGUGUUUUGCAUUAUUGUUUUAUAUAAGAUGUAUGUGCUAGCCAUUUAUAAUUAAGUGAAUUUACUUCAGCGUUCAAGUCUAACAUGAGUUCUCAGAAACCUAGUAUCAUGAAAUACUUGUUUGAAAUGUACUACAUUUGUUCUAAAUUUCUUAAAGGGAUAGAAAUUUUUGUAUCAACAAUUUAAAAUGACUGACUUUUUUUUUAUAAAUGUAGAGGAAUAAAAUUAGCUGUGGGAAAAAAACUUCAACUAAAUCAAAAUUUAUUCCAAGAAAAGAUGGAGCCUUUGUAGGAAACGAAAUGACAUUUUUUUUGACAAAAUAAAGUUAUUUUUUUCCACAAUUUCUUCCAAUCAGUAUCACUGACAAAAAUUUAGUAGAACAAAAUAAAAUGAUUGUUUUUCUUACGGGUGUAAAGGCACUUGGAAGAAAUUCCUUCCAAGCAGUGGUGGAGCCUUUAUACAGAAUGAAAUGAACUUUUUCUUUCUGCUGUAAAAGUUCUUGGAAGAGAUUUCUUCCAAGAUUGAGUCGCUGAAAUGGAGUGACUUAUUUGUGUUAUUAUAUAAAUAUCAAAUGUAAAUAUAUUACUUUUUUCCAUUAUAUGAAAAAAUAUAUGAAUUAAUUAAGUUGUAUAACAGAUUAUAAUAAUGUAUUGGCAAUUUUACUUUUGCAAAAUUCAAUUGAAAUUUCUGCAGUGGAAAGAAAAAAUACUUCUUCCAAAUUUUUAAAGAAAUUUCAGACUGUUGUAAAAGGAACUGGAAGAAAUGUCUUCCAAGAAGGAACAUUAAAUAAGUGAACUAUCUGUGUUGAACAAAUGGAAAAUAAUUUGUAAAUUUAUUACAUGUUUCUAUAUUUGUUUGAAGAAAUUUUGAAUGAUUUAAUAUUACUUGGAAGAAAUUUCUUCCAACUUGAGAGAGGAUACAAAAUGAAGUGAACAAGUUGAGUUUAUUAACUAAAAUUAUAUACUUUAUUGGAAAUGAAAUACAUUUUCUAAUUUGU